rnacentral:rRNA from 1 species
GACGAACGCUGGCGGCAUGGCUAAGACAUGCAAGUCGUACGGUGUGUUGUAGCAAUAUGGCACACAGUGGCGAACGGGUGAGUACAAAAUAGGUAACGUGCCUUAGACUCAGGGAUAACCCCGGGAGCUUGCUCCCUUUGCGAAAGUGGGAUUAAUACCUGAUGACGUCGCGGGGUGGCAUCAUCCUGCGACCAAAACCGGGGACCGCAAGGCCUGGUGGUCUUUGAUCGGCCAUUUCCUAUCAGCUAGUUGGUGAGGUAACGGCUCACCAAGGCAACGACGGGUAGCCGGACUGAGAGGUUGUACGGCCACAUCGGGACUGAGACACUGCCCGGACAUCUACGGAUGGCUGCAGUAACGAAUCUUCCGCAAUGGGCGAAAGCCUGACGGAGCAAUGCCGCGUGAAGGACGAAGUCCUCGG